GCCGCGGCGAUAGCUCAGUGGGUAAAGCGCCAGGUGAGAAGAUGGUGAUUACUCCGAGAGCUAUUAUUUGUGCGGGUUCGAAUCCCGCCUGUGGCA
rnacentral:tRNA from 1 species